GGAUGUGAGGGCGAUCUGGCUGCGACAUCUGUCACCCCAUUGAUCACCAGUGUUGAUUUGGCUGAUCUGGCUGGCUAGGCAGGUGUCCCCUUCCUCCCUCACCGCUCCAUGUACAUCCCUCCCGAAGUUGUACGCUUGGUUGAAGAGGACGGCCUUCCCCAAAUAGAGAUGGACCAGUCUUCCAUCGAGGGUGUAUAAGUAGCUGCGCUCCCCUGCUAGAACCUCCAAACAAGCUCUCAAGAACUGCUGGGUCAGAGAGACACUCAAGCAAGAAAUUCAAAUGUUCCUGGAAACAAAU
rnacentral:snRNA from 1 species